AGCAAUGACACGGACUGAACUAACUUUAACCACACCUGUCCCACAGAAAAUAACCAGCAUCCUUUUAGAGGGAUCCGACUUGUGAGUAGCGGAAAAUUUGAGGCGAUUGAUAUCUGGGUUCUGGCCAUGAAUGGCUCGAAAUUCUUGCAGAGACUGUUCAAUUUCAGAGCUGGAAACAGAAUAGCCUCUGUCUCUCAACAUCU
rnacentral:misc_RNA from 1 species